rnacentral:rRNA from 1 species
ACACAUGCAAGUUGAGCGGAGGUAGAUGGAGCUUGCUCUAUGUACCUUAGCAGCGAACGGGUGAGUAACACGUAGAUAAUCUGUCCUAUAUUGGGGGAUAGCCCGAUGAAAGUUGGAUUAAUACCGCAUACAGCUAUAUAGUUGCAUGAUUAUAUAGUGAAAGAUUUAUUGAUAUAGGAGGAGUCUGCGGCACAUUAGCUAGUAGGUGAGGUAAGAGCUUACCUAGGCGACGAUGUGUAGCCGGUCUGAGAGGAUGAACGGCCACAAUGGAACUGAGACACGGUCCAUACUCCUACGGGAGGCAGCAGUGGGGAAUAUUGCACAAUGGGGGAAACCCUGAUGCAGCAACGCCGCGUGAGUGAAGAAGGUUUUCGGAUUGUAAAGCUCUGUUAGCAGGGAAGAGGAAGGACGGUACCUGCAGAGGAAGCCACGGCUAACUACGUGCCAGCAGCCGCGGUAAUACGUAGGUGGCAAGCGUUGUUCGGAAUAACUGGGCGUAAAGGAUGCGUAGGCGGUUAAAUAAGUUAUAUGUUAAAUAUAUAGGCUUAACCUGUAGAAAGCAUAUAAAACUGUUUAACUAGAGUGCAGGAGAGGUAAGUGGAAUUCCUAGUGUAGCGGUGAAAUGCGUAGAGAUUAGGAAGAACACCAGUGGCGAAGGCGACUUACUGGACUGUAACUGACGCUGAGG